UAUCGCCAGGAUACAUUAGCAUGGAAUAAUACUAUAGGAUCUUGAUCCUAUUUUGUUGGUUUCUAGGAGCAAGAUAAUGAUUAAUAGGGACAAUUGGGGGCAUUUGUAUCAACACGCUAGAGGUGAAAUUCUUGGAUUGUGUUGCGACAAACUACUGCGAAAGCAUUUGCCAAGGAUGUUUUCAUUGAUCAAGAACGAAAGUUAGGGGAUCGAAGAUGAUUAGAUACCGUCGUAGUCUUAACCAUAAACUAUGCCAACUAGAGAUGGGACAUCGUUCACAUACGACUUGUUCCGCACCUUAUGAGAUAUCAAAGUCUUUGGGUUCCGGGGGGAGUAUGGUCGCAAGUCUGAAACUUAAAGGAAUUGACGGAAGGGCACCACCAGGAGUGGAGCCUGCGGCUUAAUUUGACUCAACACGGGGAAACUCACCAGGUCCAGACAUAAUAAGGAUUGACAGAUUGAUAGCUCUUUCUUGAUUUUAUGGGUGGUGGUGCAUGGCCGUUCUUAGUUCGUGGAGUGAUUUGUCUGCUUAAUUGCGUUAACGAACGAGACCUUAACCUGCUAAAUAGGAGCGCAUAUCUCCGGAUAAGCGCCUUUCUUCUUAGAGGGACUUUAUGCGUUUCAGCAUGAGGAAGUUUGAGGCUAAAACAGGUCUGUGAUGCCCUUAGAUGUUCUGGGCUGCACGCGCGCUACACUGAUGCGUUCAACGAGUGUACAACCUUGCCCGAUAGGGUUGGGUAACCUUUUGAACACGCAUCGUGAUGGGGAUAGAGUAUUGUAAUUAUUACUCUUCAACGAGGAAUUCCUAGUAAUGAUGGUUCAUCAGACCGUCGUGAUUACGUCCCUGCCCUUUGUACACACCGCCCGUCGCUCCUACCGAUUGAACAAUCCGGUGAAUAUUUCGGACCGGCAUCCGUCGGGGCAACUCGUUCGGAAGCUGGAAAGUCAAGUUAACCUUAUUGUUUAGAGGAAGGAGAAGUCGUAACAAGGUUUCCGUAG
rnacentral:rRNA from 1 species